rnacentral:rRNA from 1 species
UACGUAGGUGACCAGCGUUGUCCGGAAUCAUUGGGCGUAAAGCGCGCGUAGGUGGCUUCAUAAGUCCGUUGUGAAAGUCAAAGGCUCAACCUUUGAAAGCCGAUGGAUACUGUGGAGCUAGAGUACGGAAGAGGCGAGUGGAAUUCCUGGUGUAGCGGUGGAAUGCGCAGAUAUCAGGAGGAACACCAAUAGCGAAGGCAGCUCGCUGGGACGGUACUGACGCUGAGACGAGAACGUGGGGAGCAAACAGG